AUCGCUUCUCAGCCUUUUGGCUAAGAUCAAGUGUAGUAUAAAUGGUGUUGGAAAAACUGGAUUUCAACCUGCCAAAGAUUAAAACUAGACCCUUA
ensembl:snRNA U2 U2 spliceosomal RNA